ensembl:lncRNA
GGAGGUGAUGGUUGUAAUAAUAUUCCGGAGUAAUGCAAAGCUGUCUUAAAAGAUGUCCACAUUACUUUCUGAAAUAGCAUUACAGUUUUCUUUCACCAAUGCGAGGAACUGCAUCCAUGUGAAUUACAUUACAUUUUUGUCACUUUAAAGUGGUGAUUUGUCGGUCAGUCAUCGUCCACAGCGCUGAUCCUUACAGGGCUGGAGUGGAGGGACGGGGUACACCCUGGACUGGUGGCCAGUCGAUCACAGGGCUGACAUAGAGACAUUUUCUUUAUGAGUCACCACUUAAGCUGGCCUGCACGUCUUUGGCCAGUGGGAAGAAGCCAGAGGAGGCGGAGAAAAAAACACCCUCGUGCUGUGAGGCGACAGUGCCAAACACCACACCACUGUGCCGCCCGUGAGCGCGCAGCAGCGCAGAGACAGGUCACUGGUAUCAACAGAGAUUCAUGUUACACCGCAGGAGAAAAAUAAUGACCUAAGGGAAGAAGAGG